rnacentral:lncRNA from 1 species
GUUCCAGUAUGUGUACAACAAUUAUAUUAAAAGUAAGGAAGAAUACAGACAUAGCAAUCAGAAGUCAAUACCUUGUGCUCGGAGUUGGACUAGUUCCUCACCGAGGGAAUCAACAGAUUCCUCCAGUUGUCUCUUCUUUUGUUCUACAUUUUGAAGGGUUCUCUGUGUUGCCCUGGUUGAUGUAGACAAUCUUAUAAGAAGUGUAGCAGAUAUUCAGGAGACAAUCACUUUGAAUACCAUCUAAGUUUUCUCACAUUAUAGCAUAGU